rnacentral:rRNA from 1 species
AAAUCACAAUGCGGAACAAUGUUUUGCAAUUGGAUUGAGAACAACGUACAAACCUUAUCGAUAAACAAUUGGAGGGCAAGUCUGGUGCCAGCAGCCGCGGUAAUUCCAGCUCCAAUAGCGUAUAUUAACGUUGUUGCAGUUAAAAAGCUCGUAGUUGAAAUGAAGGGUAGUUGUGUAAUGAAUACAUUCGUGUAUUUUGUUAUUCUACUACCCUCCUUCUAAAUUCGAUAUAUGAGUAUUAAUUUACUUGUAUAUGGUUUUAGACUUUUACUGUGAGAAAAUUAGAGUGUUCAAAGCAGGCAUUUGCUUGAAUAUAUUAGCAUGGAAUAAUCAUGUAUGAUUUUCAUGAUGUAUUUGAUUGGUUUGGUUCAUGAGAAUAAGAUUAAAAGGGACAGUUGGGGGUAUUCAUAUUCAAUAGUCAGAGGUGAAAUUCUCGGAUUUAUGGAAGAU